rnacentral:misc_RNA from 1 species
GAUGAAGAACGUAGCGAAAUGCGAUAACUAAUGUGAAUUGCAGAAUUCAGUGAAUCAUCGAGUCUUUGAACGCACAUUGCGCCCCCUGGUAUUCCGGGGGGCAUGCCUGUCCGAGCGUCAUUGCUGCCCUCAAGCACGGCUUGUGUGUUGGGCUCCGUCCCCCCGGGGACGGGCCCGAAAGGCAGCGGCGGCACCGAGUCCGGUCCUCGAGCGUAUGGGGCUUUGUCACCCGCUCUGUAGGCCCGGCCGGCGCCAGCCGACAACCCAUCAUCCUUUUCAGGUUGACCUCGGAUCAGGUAGGGAUACCCGCUGAACUUAAGCAUAUCAAUAAGUGGAGGA